CCUACGGGCGGCAGCAGUGAGGAAUAUUGGUCAAUGGACGAGAGUCUGAACCAGCCAAGUAGCGUGAAGGAUGACUGCCCUAUGGGUUGUAAACUUCUUUUAUAUGGGAAUAAAACGCUCCACGUGUGGGAUUUUGUAUGUACCAUAUGAAUAAGGAUCGGCUAACUCCGUGCCAGCAGCCGCGGUAAUACGGAGGAUCCGAGCGUUAUCCGGAUUUAUUGGGUUUAAAGGGAGCGUAGGUGGAUUGUUAAGUCAGUUGUGAAAGUUUGCGGCUCAACCGUAAAAUUGCAGUUGAAACUGGCAGUCUUGAGUACAGUAGAGGUGGGCGGAAUUCGUGGUGUAGCGGUGAAAUGCUUAGAUAUCACGAAGAACUCCGAUUGCGAAGGCAGUUCACUGGACUGCAACUGACACUGAGGCUCGAAAGUGUGGGUAUCAAACAGGAUUAGAUACCCCUGUAGUC
rnacentral:rRNA from 1 species